CAGGCUUAACACAUGCAAGUCGAGGGGCAGCAUUUUAUUUUGCUUGCAAACUGAAGAUGGCGACCGGCGCACGGGUGAGUAACACGUAUCCAACCUGCCGAUAACUCCGGAAUAGCCUUUCGAAAGAAAGAUUAAUACCGGAUAGUAUACGAAUAUCGCAUGAUAUUUUUAUUAAAGAAUUUCGGUUAUCGAUGGGGAUGCGUUCCAUUAGUUUGUUGGCGGGGUAACGGCCCACCAAGACUACGAUGGAUAGGGGUUCUGAGAGGAAGGUCCCCCACAUUGGAACUGAGACACGGUCCAAACUCCUACGGGAGGCAGCAGUGAGGAAUAUUGGUCAAUGGGCGAGAGCCUGAACCAGCCAAGUAGCGUGAAGGAUGAAGGCUCUAUGGGUCGUAAACUUCUUUUAUAUGGGAAUAAAGUUUUCCACGUGUGGAAUUUUGUAUGUACCAUAUGAAUAAGGAUCGGCUAACUCCGUGCCAGCAGCCGCGGUAAUACGGAGGAUCCGAGCGUUAUCCGGAUUUAUUGGGUUUAAAGGGAGCGUAGGUGGAUUGUUAAGUCAGUUGUGAAAGUUUGCGGCUCAACCGUAAAAUUGCAGUUGAAACUGGCAGUCUUGAGUACAGUAGAGGUGGGCGGAAUUCGUGGUGUAGCGGUGAAAUGCUUAGAUAUCACGAAGAACUCCGAUUGCGAAGGCAGCUCACUAGACUGUCACUGACACUGAUGCUCGAAAGUGUGGGUAUCAAACAGGAUUAGAUACCCUGGUAGUCCACACAGUAAACGAUGAAUACUCGCUGUUUGCGAUAUACAGUAAGCGGCCAAGCGAAAGCAUUAAGUAUUCCACCUGGGGAGUACGCCGGCAACGGUGAAACUCAAAGGAAUUGACGGGGGCCCGCACAAGCGGAGGAACAUGUGGUUUAAUUCGAUGAUACGCGAGGAACCUUACCCGGGCUUAAAUUGCAACAGAAUAUAUUGGAAACAGUAUAGCCGUAAGGCUGUUGUGAAGGUGCUGCAUGGUUGUCGUCAGCUCGUGCCGUGAGGUGUCGGCUUAAGUGCCAUAACGAGCGCAACCCUUAUCUUUAGUUACUAACAGGUCAUGCUGAGGACUCUAGAGAGACUGCCGUCGUAAGAUGUGAGGAAGGUGGGGAUGACGUCAAAUCAGCACGGCCCUUACGUCCGGGGCUACACACGUGUUACAAUGGGGGGUACAGAAGGCGGCUACCUGGUGACAGGAUGCUAAUCCCAAAAACCUCUCUCAGUUCGGAUCGAAGUCUGCAACCCGACUUCGUGAAGCUGGAUUCGCUAGUAAUCGCGCAUCAGCCAUGGCGCGGUGAAUACGUUCCCGGGCCUUGUACACACCGCCCGUCAAGCCAUGAAAGCCGGGGGUACCUGAAGUACGUAACCGCAAGGAGCGUCCUAGGGUAAAACUGGUAAUUGGGGCU
rnacentral:rRNA from 1 species